AGCGGGGUGGGGUAGUCAGGAAAUCCGAUGGGCUCAUAACCCGUAGAUCGAUGGUUCAAAUCCAUCCCCCGCUA
rnacentral:ncRNA from 15 species